AUUGAACGCUGGCGGCAGGCCUAACACAUGCAAGUCGAGCGAGCGGCGGACGGGUGAGUAAUGUCUGGGAAACUGCCUGAUGGAGGGGGAUAACUACUGGAAACGGUAGCUAAUACCGCAUACCAUCAGAUGUGCCCAGAGGGGCUUAGCUAGUUGGUCGGGUAACGGCUCACCUAGGCGACGAUCACUAGCUGGUCUGACAGGAUGACCAGCCACACUGGAACUGAUGCACGGUCCAGACUCCUACGGGAGGCAGCAGUGGGGAAUAUUGAGCAAUGGGCGCAAGCCUGAUGCAGCCAUGCCGCGUGUGUGAAGAAGGCCUUCGGGUUGUAAAGCACUUUCAGCGGGGAGGCGUUACCCGCAGAAGAAGCACCGGCUAACUCCGUGCCAGCAGCCGCGGUAAUUC
rnacentral:rRNA from 1 species